CUUCCAGUCCUUACGGGAUUGCAAUGAGAACAAUUUAAAUCACUUAACGAGGAUCAAUUGGAGGGCAAGUCUGGUGCCAGCAGCCGCGGUAAUUCCAGCUCCAAUAGUUUAUAUUAAAGUUGUUGCAGUUAAAAAGCUCGUAGUUGAACUUCUGGCUGCGCGCAGUUCGGCGUUCUCGCCAGCUGCGUUCGCAGUCAUCCGUCUGCAAACUCCGAACAACCUUCAGUGGCUUGGCGGGGGGAGUAGACAUUUUACUUUGAAAAAAUUAGAGUGUUUCAAGCAGGUUAUUGCCAGAAUACUUUAGCAUGGAAUAAUGGAAUAGGACUCUUGUCCAUUUGGUUGGUUAUUGGACCAGAGUAAUGAUUAACAGGGACAGUUGGGGGCAUUAGUAUUUAAUUGUCAGAGGUGAAAUUCAUGGAUUUAUUAAAGACUAACUUAUGCGAAAGCAUUUGCCAAGGAUGUUUUCAUUAAUCAAGAACGAAAGUUAGGGGAUCAAAGACGAUCAGAUACCGUCCUAGUCUUAACUAUAAACGAUGUCGACUCGGGAUUGGAAAGGUAUGUGUAUCCUUUCCAGCACCGUAUGAGAAAUCAUUAAGUCUUUGGAUUCUGGGGGGAGUAUGGUCGCAAGGCUGAAACUUAAAGGAAUUGACGGAAGAGCACCACCAGGCGUGGGACCUGCGGCUUAAUUUGACCCAACACGGGAAAACUUAUUUCAGCAAAACAUGAGUGGGAUUGACAGAUUGAGAGCUCUUUCUUGAUUUUAUGGGGUGUGGUGCAUGGCCGUUCUUAGUUGGUGGAGUGAUUUGUCUGGUUAAUUCCGUUAACGAACGAGACCUUAACCUGCUAACUAGUCAGCGCGUUAACCUACGCACUGUACUUCUUAGAGGGACUAUGGGUAAUAAGCCCAUGGAAGUUUGAGGCAAUAACAGGUCUGUGAUGCCCAUAGAUGUUGAAAGCGGCACGCGCGUCAUACUGUCCAGUAACAGCAAGUUUACUUCCUCUCCCGGCAGGGUAGGGGUAAUCUACAAAACUGAACGUGGUAGGGAUAGAUCUUUGGAAUUAUAGAUCUUGAACGAAGAAUGCCUAGUAAGUACAAGUCAUCAACUUGUGCUGAUUACGUCCCUGUCCUUUGUACACACCGCCCGUCGCUCCUACCGAUUUCGAGCGAUAUGGUGAAUCUCCUGGACCGUGGAGCUCCUCGUGGGCCUCGUGGAAAGUUUAGUAAACCUUAUCGCUUAGAGGAAGGAAAAGUCGUAACAAGGUA
rnacentral:rRNA from 1 species